rnacentral:lncRNA from 10 species
UUAUACAAAGACUUGUAUAUAUCUACAUCUGCUAUUUGGGAUGCUGAGAUUAUGUGCGCGUGUCACCACAUCUGGCUAACUUUUUUAUAUUUUGUAGAGAAAGGGUCCCACUUUGUUGCCCAUGCUGGUCUCAAACUCCUGUGCUCAAGUGAUCCUUGAGAUCCACUUGGCCUUUCAAAGUGUUGGGAUUACAGCCAUGAGUCACCAUGCCAGCCAAAGUUCUUUCUCUUAUUCUUCCUGUUAUAUUUUUUUCUUUAAAAUUAAUUUAUUUGUUUCUCAUCACAAAGUACAGGGAAGAGAAUGCAAUGGCUGUAAUCCCUUGGUUGCAUAUCUUCCUAGCCUACACAUCCAUAAAUACCCUGUACAACACCAGGCUCAUACUGUCCCCACAGGCAUUUUCUCACAUCCUAACAGCUGCAGAGUACAGUAUAUGACAAGGUAGGAAAUACAAACAGAUUCCCCAUUCACAAGGUAGGGAAACUCUUCAAUUAGUGUUCCAGUUCACAUUUGCUUUUUUUUUUUUUCUGAGACAGUCUAGCUGUCAGCCAGGCUGGAAUACAGUGGUGUGAUUUCAGCUAACUAGAACCUUCACCUCCCAGGCUCAAACAAUCCUCCCAGCUCAGCCUCCCAAGUAGCUGCGACUACAGGUGCAUGCCACCACGUCCAGCUAAUGUUUAUAUUUUUUGUAGAGACAGGGUUUCACCAUGUUACCCAGGCUGGUCUCAAACUCCCGAGCUCAAGCAAUCCACCUGCCUUGGUCUCCCAAAGUGUCAGAGUUACAGGCAUGAGCCAUCAAUCACGCCCGGGCUGCCAAUAUUCCAACUGAAGUAGCAGGUUGUUUUUACUAAUGAUUUUAUGAAACUCUCUUGCAAACAA